rnacentral:rRNA from 1 species
UACGAAGGGGGGCUAGCGUUGUUCGGAAUUACUGGGCGUAAAGCGUAUGCAGGCGGAUCGUUAAGUCGGGGGUGAAAUCCCGAGGCUCAACCUCGGAACUGCCUUCGAUACUGGCGACCUUGAGUCCGGGAGAGGUGAGUGGAACUCCGAGUGUAGAGGUGAAAUUCGUAGAUAUUCGGAAGAACACCAGUGGCGAAGGCGGCUCACUGGCCCGGUACUGACGCUGAGAUACGAAAGCGUGGGGAGCAAACAGG